UACGUAGGGGGCUAGCGUUGUCCGGAAUCAUUGGGCGUAAAGCGCGUGUAGGCGGUUCGGUAAGUCCGCUGUGAAAGUCGGGGGCUCAACCCUCGGAUGCCGGUGGAUACUGUCGGACUAGAGUACGGAAGAGGCGAGUGGAAUUCCUGGUGUAGCGGUGAAAUGCGCAGAUAUCAGGAGGAACACCAAUUGCGAAGGCAGCUCGCUGGGACGUUACUGACGCUGAGGCGCGAAAGCGUGGGGAGCAAACAGG
rnacentral:rRNA from 1 species